ACGUGCGAUCGUACCAUCACAAAAGCAUCGGAUCCCAUCAGAACUCCUUAGUUAACCGUGCUUGGGAGAAAGUAGUACUAGGAUGUGUGACCUCCUAAAAAGUCCUUGUGUUGCACCUU
rfam:Lupinus angustifolius cultivar Tanjil contig_40848, whole genome shotgun sequence.